UGGGGAAUAUUGCACAAUGGGCGAAAGCCUGAUGCAGCAACGCCGCGUGAGUGAUGAAGGCCUUCGGGUUGUAAAGCUCUGUCUUUUGGGACGAUAAUGACGGUACCAAAGGAGGAAGCCACGGCUAACUACGCGCCAGCAGCCGCGGUAAUACGUAGGUGGCAAGCGUUGUCCGGAUUUACUGGGCGUAAAGGAUGCGUAGGCGGAUUUUUAAGUGAGAUGUGAAAUACCCGGGCUUAACUUGGGUGCUGCAUUUCAAACUGGGAAUCUAGAGUGCGGGAGAGGAGAAUGGAAUUCCUAGUGUAGCGGUGAAAUGCGUAGAGAUUAGGAAGAACACCAGUGGCGAAGGCGAUUCUCUGGACCGUAACUGACGCUGAGGCAUGAAAGCGUGGGUAGCAAACAGGAUUAGAUACCCUGGUAGUCCACGCCGUAAACGAUGAGUACUAGGUGUAGGAGGUAUCGACCCCUUCUGUGCCGCAGUUAACACAAUCAAGUACUCCGCCUGGGAAGUACGAUCGCAAGAUUAAAACU
rnacentral:rRNA from 1 species